CAACGUUAAUCGGGGCAGGGUGAGUCGACCCCUAAGGCGAGGCCGAAAGGCGUAGUCGAUGGGAAACAGGUUAAUAUUCCUGUACUUGGUGUUACUGCGAAGGGGGGACGGAGAAGGCUAUGUUGGCCGGGCGACGGUUGUCCCGGUUUAAGCGUGUAGGCUGGUUUUCCAGGCAAAUCCGGAAAACUAAGGCUGAGGCGUGAUGACGAGGCACUACGGUGCUGAAGCAACAAAUGCCCUGCUUCCAGGAAAAGCCUCUAAGCAUCAGGUAACAUCAAAUCGUACCCCAAACCGACACAGGUGGUCAGGUAGAGAAUACCAAGGCGCUUGAGAGAACUCGGGUGAAGGAACUAGGCAAAAUGGUGCCGUAACUUCGGGAGAAGGCACGCUGAUAUGUAGGUGAAGUCCCUCGCGGAUGGAGCUGAAAUCAGUCGAAGAUACCAGCUGGCUGCAACUGUUUAUUAAAAACACAGCACUGUGCAAACACGAAAGUGGACGUAUACGGUGUGACGCCUGCCCGGUGCCGGAAGGUUAAUUGAUGGGGUCAGCGCAAGCGAAGCUCUUGAUCGAAGCCCCGGUAAACGGCGGCCGUAACUAUAACGGUCCUAAGGUAGCGAAAUUCCUUGUCGGGUAAGUUCCGACCUGCACGAAUGGCGUAAUGAUGGCCAGGCUGUCUCCACCCGAGACUCAGUGAAAUUGAACUCGCUGUGAAGAUGCAGUGUACCCGCGGCAAGACGGAAAGACCCCGUGAACCUUUACUAUAGCUUGACACUGAACAUUGAGCCUUGAUGUGUAGGAUAGGUGGGAGGCUUUGAAGUGUGGACGCCAGUCUGCAUGGAGCCGACCUUGAAAUACCACCCUUUAAUGUUUGAUGUUCUAACGUUGACCCGUAAUCCGGGUUGCGGACAGUGUCUGGUGGGUAGUUUGACUGGGGCGGUCUCCUCCUAAAGAGUAACGGAGGAGCACGAAGGUUGGCUAAUCCUGGUCGGACAUCAGGAGGUUAGUGCAAUGGCAUAAGCCAGCUUGACUGCGAGCGUGACGGCGCGAGCAGGUGCGAAAGCAGGUCAUAGUGAUCCGGUGGUUCUGAAUGGAAGGGCCAUCGCUCAACGGAUAAAAGGUACUCCGGGGAUAACAGGCUGAUACCGCCCAAGAGUUCAUAUCGACGGCGGUGUUUGGCACCUCGAUGUCGGCUCAUCACAUCCUGGGGCUGAAGUAGGUCCCAAGGGUAUGGCUGUUCGCCAUUUAAAGUGGUACGCGAGCUGGGUUUAGAACGUCGUGAGACAGUUCGGUCCCUAUCUGCCGUGGGCGCUGGAGAACUGAGGGGGGCUGCUCCUAGUACGAGAGGACCGGAGUGGACGCAUCACUGGUGUUCGGGUUGUCAUGCCAAUGGCACUGCCCGGUAGCUAAAUGCGGAAGAGAUAAGUGCUGAAAGCAUCUAAGCACGAAACUUGCCCCGAGAUGAGUUCUCCCUGACUCCUUGAGAGUCCUGAAGGAACGUUGAAG
rnacentral:rRNA from 1 species